rnacentral:snRNA from 1 species
GGGUGGGACAGUGACCUGGGUGAGUUAUCUGUCAACCUAUCGAACACUGGGGUUUAUUUGAGUGAUGUAGCUGGCUAUCGAGUGUCACCUUCCUCUCUCACAAUUACUUGUGUGUCCCUAGUUGUGCUUUAUCAAAAAGGACAACUGCCCUUGCUAGGGAAAGAUAGUUUUUGGGUCCUACUUAUAUGCACUGUAUACAAGUUGUUGGGAUCAUCUGUUUAUAUGGUUUAUUCAAGCAUAAAGAAGAAUAGAAUCAUUAUUUGCAAGAAAAU